UCCCUGGUGGUCCAGUGGUUAGGACUCCGUGCUCUGCUUGCUGAGGUCCCAGGUUCAAUACCUGGUUGGGGAA